rnacentral:rRNA from 1 species
UACGUAGGGUGCGAGCGUUGUCCGGAAUUAUUGGGCGUAAAGGGCUCGUAGGCGGUUUGUCGCGUCGGGAGUGGAAACCCAGGGCUUAACCCUGGGCUGGCUUCCGAUACGGGCAGACUAGAGGUAUGCAGGGGAGAACGGAAUUCCUGGUGUAGCGGUGAAAUGCGCAGAUAUCAGGAGGAACACCGGUGGCGAAGGCGGUUCUCUGGGCAUUACCUGACGCUGAGGAGCGAAAGUGUGGGGAGCGAACAGG